rnacentral:rRNA from 1 species
GACCUCAUAAAGUAUGUCGUAGUCCGGAUUGGAGUCUGCAACUCGACUCCAUGAAGUCGGAAUCGCUAGUAAUCGUGGAUCAGAAUGCCACGGUGAAUACGUUCCCGGGCCUUGUACACACCGCCCGUCACACCAUGGGAGUGGGUUGCAAAAGAAGUAGGUAGCUUAACCUUCGGGAGGGCGCUUACCACUUUGUGAUUCAUGACUGGGGUGAAGUCGUAACAAGGUAACCGUAGGGGAACCUGCGGUUGGA